UGCGGAGCCCAGGUGGGGGCUGGAGUUUGUGGAAACCAGCCUGGUCUUGGAACACAUCAAGGAAACGAAAUCACUGCCCGGCGGCCGGCCCGGGGACGCUUCUCCAGCCUGCCUUCAGGAAGACGGGGCUACAGACUGGUCACUUGAGCUCUCUGGAAAUCAGUCUCCUCAUCUGGAAAACAUGGCUCACCUGGACCUUGUGACGGGCGUGAGGUGAUGGCAUCAGAUAAUGUGCACGAAUGACCCUGUAAGUCAUAAAUUGCUUGCAGUGUCUCUCCAGUGACCGCCAAGUGCAUUUUGGAGCCCAGUGAACUUGAGUUUGCAUCCCAGCUCCUGACCUCCUGUGGCCCACGUCCUCCCUGGAGGAUGGGCUCUGGAGGCUGGAGGGCUGGUGGAAGAGGAAGUGAGAUGGCAGCUCACUGGCUUCUGCGUCAGGCCCCAACUGUACCCUGGUCCUCCAGCCUUGCACGUGCCUCCUCACAGCUUCCCUUGAACAUCCUGUAUCAUCCAGCA